UUGGUAUCGGAGGAAUCGAUAUUUCAGAAUCGAUCCGCACAUCACUACUUCUUUCCCCCCGCCCCGCUCCUUCUUCCUCUUCCUCUGAGUUUUUAUAGCAGUUGUACCAACUUACAGUUGUAUUGGGGAGGGGCCAAGAUGGUGACCGAGGUAGACGCUCUUCUCCGUGGCUAAGCAGGAUUUUGCAGUUUUACUUCCCUUUCAGCCGUCGUUUUUUUCUCUGAAUCACAAGUGAGUUAUCCUACUGAUCUUAUUCAGUACACGUAUGCGGCACUUCUAAGUAAUGGCUUCCUGAACCAUACUUCAAAGAGUUUUUUCGCGACCCUAGCCUCUUUGCAACGCGAUAGCUCAGCUAACAGCAGGAAAGCUCUGUUACCUCAGCGAUGUUUCCAACAAUUCAGGGUAGCAAAGGAAGGAAAAAUAAACACCCAUGAAAUUUAAAAGUCUAACCAGAGGAGCAACCAAGGAAAUGGAGAGAAACACGGGUGUAGCUGGCUCCAAAACCAGCCCCAAGAAUGCCGUGACUGCCGAACAUGACUACAACCGCAGCAAAAGUCCUGAACUGAUGCCACUGACUGACAGGAGUUAUUACUCUGAAGAACAAAUUUAAUGGGAACGUUAUGCACUCUGAAAUGGACUCAGAAGGACAGUAUGAUAGUCAACAUUGAUGGUACACUUCUUCUUCUUGCCAAUGCUGCUCCAGCCAGCCGGAGAAUCCCCCGCCGCCCCGCCCUCUCCUCCCUGUGCAGCAAGCAGCAGGCGCACCUCGCAAACGGAGGGCGCCCUUACUCCCAGCAAAUGGGCAAUGGAAACCCAAUCGGUGCCUACAACAUUCCCAAUAUGCGCUGGCAUGAUGUCGGGGCAGCAUAACUUCUCACACAUUUGAUUUCCAUGUGUGACAACUGCAGACAGACUGAGGGACACACUGCUGCACAUCAUCUGUGAGGCUUUGCACCCCUGAUGAUCCACCAGGACAAACUCAGCAGUGUGUGAGGAAGAGGAGGAGGAAGAGUCAGCAGCUGCUGACAGAUGGAGAGAAUAGACAGACUGUUCCCUGUUUGUGAAGGACUGCUAGAAAAGUUUAAAAUAACUAAUUGCCUGUCCUGAAUCAGUCUCAUUAGGUAAUGUUCAAAAUAUUUUAUUAUUCCAGUGUUUUCAGUGUGGGAGAAAGUACUCAGGGCCUUCAAGUUACACACUAUGAAAGGCAGCAACAAGUUUAAUAUUCAGAAACCUAAAGUAUGUAUCAGCAGCAGAAUGGACCUAAAAAUAAAUGUUUGUUUCAGUUCUAUGAAGCUUUGAGUAUUUUGGAUUAGUAGCACUGCUGUGUUUGUUGCAUCAUAUUGCUGUAAUUGUUUAUAUGCUUUAUAUAUUCUGAGGUAAGUUGGUCUAUAGUGUUACAUCAUAUUCUAUAAGGAUGUUAUGUGUUUGUAUACUUUCUGCCCAGAUGACUUAAAGCAGUUAUGACAUGGUCUGAUUUUCUCACCCAAUAAAGGAAUAUUUAAUAUAUCAGACUACUCUUCAUUCUAUCAGAAACAGUUUUCACAGCUCGUACAUUUUCCUUUUUACACAUGUAUGUAAGCAUUGAGCCAAAUGUAAUAAUGCCAACAUAUUAAAUGAACAAUAUUUGUCUCUCAUAUAUAAUACAUCUAUAUAUACACUGUCAAAGA
ensembl:lncRNA